rnacentral:rRNA from 1 species
UACGAAGGGGGCUAGCGUUGCUCGGAUUUACUGGGCGUAAAGGGCGCGUAGGCGGACAGUUAAGUUGGGGGUGAAAGCCCGGGGCUCAACCUCGGAAUUGCCUUCAAUACUGGCUGUCUUGAGUGCAGGGAGAGGUGUGUGGAACUCCGAGUGUAGAGGUGAAAUGCGCAGAUAUCAGGAGGAACACCGGUGGCGAAGGCGGGUCUCUGGGCAACUACUGACGCUGAGGAGCGAAAGCGUGGGGAGCAAACAGG